rnacentral:lncRNA from 9 species
CCCCUGAUAACUGGCCCCCGGGAUUGGCUUUUCUUAGUUCACAUUCGAGAAGCAGAUUGGCUGCUCCCAGGUCAGGUGCUGCCUCUGGGUCCAAUCAGCUAUGAGCAAGAAGGGUGGGGCCACCCUGUCUGGGAGGAGCCUCGAGUCACCUCUUCAUCGGCGGUGGUCGGCGGUGGUCGGCAGCGGUACCCCCAAGAAGGCGGCGGGAAUGGCCGUCGAGGAAACGGACACGUCCGGAGAGUGUUUCACAAACCUUGAAGUUAAUGAGGCCUUACAAGUCUUGGAUGUUUAUAACAGAAAGAAGAAUCCACCAAGUGCUCUGAGCACCAGGAGAAACCUUACUUUUCAAGAAGCUCAGGAGUUCCCAUCGUGGUGCAGCAGACACGAAUCCAACCAGGAACCAUGAGGUUGCAAGUUCGACUCUGGCCUCGCUCAGUGGGUUAAGGAUCCGGUGUUGCCAGGAGCUGUGGCGUAGGGGUCGAAGACGUGGCUCGGAUCUGGUGUGGCUGUGGCUGGGGUGUAGGCAGGCAGCUGUAGCUCUGAUUAGACCCCUAGCCUGGGAACCUCCAUAUGCUGCGGGUGGGGCCCCGAAAAACAAACAAACAAACAAAAACAAAAACAAAAGCCCAGGCUGGUGGUUAAAGGCAAGAGGAAAAUAAAUAAAGACACAUCUUGUUACUGAAAUUCGGUCUGUCCAGCAGGGCUGAAUAGAAAUGAGAAAACAGAGUUUUGAGUGAAAGAGAAAAAAAUAGUUUUAUUUCUUUGCUGAGCAAAGGAGGCCAUGGCAGGUUAAUGCCCUGCAGACUGUGUCUUCCUCCGGGAGGGAUUAGAAAGUGGUUUUAUAGUUUGAGCAUAGAAAAUAGAGCCAUAGGUAAAGAUCGGGGUCCAUACAAGAUUCCAUUCUUCUUCUUCUUUUUUUUUUUUUUUUUUUGUCUUUUUUGCCUUUUCUAGGGCUGCUUCCGCGGCAUAUGGAGGUUCCCACGCUAGGGGUCCAACCGGAGCUGCAGCCGCCGGCCUACACCAGAGCCACAGCAACGUGGGAUCCAAGGUGCCACCUACACCACAGCUCACAGCAACGCCGGAUCCUUAGCCCCCUGAGCGAGGCCAGGGAUCGAACCUGCAACCUCAUGGUUCCUAGUCAGAUUCGUUAACCACUGCGCUGGCAACUCCAAGAUUCCAUUCUUCUUCAAAGCUGGUGUUUAGUGCCCUCAGGAGGGAUUCUGGUCCUCCUCUGUUUCUCUUUUGUUGGGGGCUUUCCUUCUGCAGAGAUUCUUGGGUGCAUUCCUUGAGGGGGAGCCAGACCCUGCCCUGAGGCACACCCUUGUCUCUUGACGGCUCCUCCCUGGUUUCUGCAAUUAGCGAUUGUUUGGACCUACGCUUUGGAACUCAGGGAGGAUCCGAAGCCUACCACCUAUUCCCUAUAAACAAGAAGCGGGGAACACAGAAAGGCUUGUGUGCCCAGGAGCCCCAAGGGCACUGCUGGGUUUCAAUCUUUCCACUCACUUGUUCUGGCAGCAAAAAUCCUUGUAGAGGACCCAGGAAAUAUAUUUUCGUUCUUUUGUUUUGAAGAAGGGGUAAGGACAAGACAGACAGGACAGGCAGGACAGACAUGAGACGUGAGGUCACAGUGGAGAUUUCUCACUCACUCUGUACCUUUUUAGUAAAAAAUGUUUAGUAAACAUUUUUGCUUUUGGUACCCUGUGGAAAUCACAGCUCAUCUAAAACAUGCAGUAGAGGAGUUCCCAUUCUGGUGCAGUGGAAAAGAGUUCAACUAGUAUACACGAUGAUGCAGGUUCGAUCCCUGGCUUCUCUCAAUGGGUUAAGGAUCUGGCGUGGCCGUGAGCUGUGGUUUGGAGCCAGUCGCUGACUCCCCUCAGAUUCCCUGUUGCUGUGGCUGUGCCAGCAGGCAUACCUCCAAUUCAACCCCUAGCCUGAGAACUUCCAAAGGCCGUGGGUCCAACCCUAAAAAAAAAAAAAAAAAAAAAAAAUGCAAUAGAAAUGAUGUUACACAUACAGAAAUCCUCAUGCAAGGCUCCCUGGGUUCAAACCCCACUGUUUCUUACUGUGGAGCCUCGGAAAAUGACUUGACUCUUUGCCUAGGUUUCUCCUUGCUUAUGGUGGAGACAGCAAAAAGCAGCAACAUCUUAAGGUUAAUGGGAAUAUUAGCAAAUUAAUCUGGGAAAAACAAUUUUACCCAGCAUGCCCUGGGCAUUGUUAGCGAUUAGUUAACACUCUCCCCCAGCAAGUAAAAACCAAGUGCUUCCUUUUUCACCUCCCCCGCCGCCUUAACGAAUAGAGCCAGUGAAAAAAACUGGUUUCCUUCUAUAAUGGGGAAAGCCGUAUUUCUGAAUCUAUCUCUGCCUUUUUAAAAGACAGGUUCGUGGUUUUAGAGAAUUAAGAAUAGUGACGCGAGGGAGGAGUUCCCGUGGUGGCGCAGCAGAAACGAAUCCUACUAGUAUCCAUGAGGAUGCGGGUCUGAUCCCUGGCCUCGUUCAGUGGGUUGGGGAUCUGGUGUUGCGGUGAAGCUGUGGCCACCGGCUGCAGCCCCGAUUCGACUCCUAGCCUGCAAACUUCCAUUUGCCGCCCCUAAAAAGAAAACAAAAACCAAAAACCAAAAAACGGGGCACAGCGGGAUGGGCGCGGCAUCUUUCGGGAGCGCUCGGACGCAGGCUCCAUCCCGGCCGCGCACAGAGGGCUGAGGAUUCUGCGUUGCAGCCCGGGACCUCCAUCUGCCAUGCGCGGGGCGGCCAAAAAAGAAAAAAAAUAUUAAAAAAAAAAAAAGGCUUGAGUUCACCGAGCGCAAGGCUCAGAGGUUGGUUACCAGGUACAAAGCUCAGGUGGCGGCCCCUGCUCCCGCCACCAGCCUGGGCUGCGCCUGCCUCCUCGGCUCCCACCUCUGGGUCCAGCGCUGGCUGCUGAGGCUCAAAGAACCG